rnacentral:rRNA from 1 species
UUCGCCCUUAGAGUUUGAUCCUGGCUCAGGACUAACGCUGGCGGCGUGCCUAAUACAUGCAAGUCGAACGGUCGUGCGUUUGUAGCAAUAUGGACGUACGAUAGUGGCGAACGGGUGAGUAACACGUGGAAAACCUACCCUCGAGCGGGGGAUAACUCCGGGAAACUGGGGCUAAUACCGCAUGACAUCCCAACCUGGCAUCGGGAGGGGAUCAAAGCCGAAAGGCACUUGAGGAUGGUUCCGCGGCCUAUCAGCUAGUUGGCGGGGUAACGGCCCACCAAGGCGACGACGGGUAGCCGGCCUGAGAGGGCGAUCGGCCACAAGGGGACUGAGACACGGCCCCUACUCCUACGGGAGGCAGCAGUAGGGAAUUUUGCUCAAUGGGGGAAACCCUGAAGCAGCGACGCCGCGUGGGCGACGAAAUCCUUCGGGAUGUAAAGCCCUUUUAACCGGGACGAAAUACAUGACGGUACCGGUGGAAUAAGCCUCGGCUAACUCCGUGCCAGCAGCCGCGGUAAGACGGGGGAGGCAAGCGUUGUCCGGAAUCACUGGGUGUAAAGGGCGUGUAGGCGGGCCGGCUAGUCGGUUGUUAAAUCUCUCCGCUCAACGGAGAAGCUGCGGCCGAUACUUCCGGUCUUGAGUGCGGCAGGGGAGGAUGGAAUUCCUGGUGUAGCGGUGAAAUGCGUAGAUAUCAGGAGGAACACCGGUGGCGAAGGCGGUCCUCUGGGCCUGCACUGACGCUGAGUGCGCGAAAGCUGGGGUAGCAAACAGAAUUAGAUACUCUGGUAGUCCCAGCCCUAAACGAU